UACAGAGGGGGCAAGCGUUGUUCGGAAUUACUGGGCGUAAAGGGCGCGUAGGCGGCCUACUAAGUCGAACGUGAAAUCCCCGGGCUUAACCCGGGAACUGCGUCCGAUACUGGUUGGGCUUGAAUCCGGGAGAGGGAUGUGGAAUUCCAGGUGUAGCGGUGAAAUGCGUAGAUAUCUGGAGGAACACCGGUGGCGAAGGCGGCAUCCUGGACCGGUAUUGACGCUGAGACGCGAAAGCGUGGGGAGCGAACAGG
rnacentral:rRNA from 1 species